AGCGAGGCCAUGGGGGAAAAAGUCUAACUGGCGGAACUCCUGGGAACUGGGGCGAUGGGCUCUUAGUAUCGGAGGAUUGGAGCCAUCUGAUUUUUACCUGAAAUUCCUUAGUCUCUCCUGUGUUGGGGAAAUGGUCACCUUGCCUUCAGGGACCUGGGCUUUCAGCUGUCCAUACCUGGCCCUGGUUGAUGGCGGCAUGCUGGGCAGUGCACGUGAAGACGCACAUGAGACCGGGACUUGCUGUGUUGCCCAGGCUGGUCUUGAACUCCUGGUCUUAAGCAAUCAUACUGCUUUGGCCACCCAAAGCACUGGGAUUACAGGCGUGAACCACCACACCCAGCUCUUAAAACCACAGUAUUUCUAGGUCCACUCUGGCCUACAUCCUCUGCUCAGGACUGCAGGUCGGCCAUUUGCUGGUCCCCAGUUCUUCCAGUUUUCUGGGGUCACCCCAUUCUGUAAUAUCCAAAUAAAAUGGCUCAAAUUCCCA
ensembl:lncRNA MIR497HG mir-497-195 cluster host gene